UUGGUUUAUAUCUCAAAUGGUCAAGUGCUGGGCAGCCAGAAUCAGUUCCCAUGGAGACUGUCUUUCAUAACAGAUUUCUUCUGGGGGGAAUAGCAGGAUUUGUAGGGUUUUUUUGUUUUUUGUUUUCCCAUCAGGAAACCCUCCACCAAGAAUGGGUGGAAUCAAUCAUCUUUGUGGCCCAGGCCCUCCUCCAAUGGCUGGUGGAUGAGGAAGG
rnacentral:lncRNA from 1 species